AGUUAUCGACUGACGACUUUGCUGUAUUACAUAGUGUACUUGGUACAUAAUUGAUCAACGAUAAUAGGAGGAACCCCUGCAAGCUUUAAAGGGCUCGUGUUACUUUAACAUCACUUUUGAAUUUCACGAAAGCAGAUAAAAGUUUUAGUGACGUUGCAGAAACUCCGGAAUACUGUGGAUUGGGAGGAGGAGAAAGUGAUAAUUCUGUUAUAUGGCCUGUUUCUAGGACACGAUAAACUUCCUAAUAAGUUAACAACUCUACCUCGAUUCGAUGCAGUGCACAGUGGGAAAGGUUGAAGUUGACGUUCAAGCAGUCACCCUGCCGAACAAGAAAUCUUUCAGGCCAAGAGGCUAGGUGACUAGAAACUCAAUCACUAUAUCCGUGAAACUUGUCGGGAGCACUGUUAUGUGAGUUAUUUUACCUUCUAAAUUCCAAUGAGCAUGAAAAUUACCCAGGUUCAUGGAAUGCACGAAAAUGAACAAAAAUUAAUAUUCUCCUAAAACUAAAAGUGCUCAGAACGGUUUAAAACUGGCCGGAAAGCGUUUAGAUUGGUCCUAGGACCACUCAAACCAAGUUUGGGAAUCACUGCAUGUCUACAACCGAUGUAACCAAUGUUCCAAAAUGUUCCAAUUUUGUCCCAAUAACUCGUUCACCAGCCUACCUCCGUUCACCAGCAUGCGCUGUGACCGUCAUGGUCACGGCGCAAGAUGCGCGCAUUUUAAAAUUGCGGGAACACAU